GGAAUAUUGGACAAUGGGCGCAGGCCUGAUCCAGCCAUGCCGCGUGUGUGAAGAAGGCCUUCGGGUUGUACAGUACUUUCAGCGAGGAGGAAGGGGUUGUAGUUAAUAGCUGCAAUUUUUGACGUUACUCGCAGAAGAAGCACCGGCUAACUCCGUGCCAGCAGCCGCGGUAAUACGGAGGGUGCAAGCGUUAAGCGGAAUUCCGGGGCGUAAAGCGCACGCAGGCGGCUUUUUAAGUCGGAUGUGAAAGCCCCGGGCUCAACCUGGGAAUUGCAUUCGAUACUGGGGAGCUAGAGUAUGUGAGAGGGGGGUAGAAUUCCAAGUGUAGCGGUGAAAUGCGUAGAGAUUUGGAGGAAUACCAGUGGCGAAGGCGGCCCCCUGGCACAAUACUGACGCUCAGGUGCGAAAGCGUGGGGAGC
rnacentral:rRNA from 1 species